rnacentral:rRNA from 1 species
CAGUAGCCGCGGUAAUACGAAGGGGGCUAGCGUUGCUCGGAAUGACUGGGCGUAAAGGGCGCGUAGGCGGCAUGUACAGUCAGACGUGAAAUUCCUGGGCUUAACCUGGGGGCUGCGUUUGAUACGUGCAGGCUAGAGUGGGGAAGAGGGUUGUGGAAUUCCCAGUGUAGAGGUGAAAUUCGUAGACAUUGGGAAGAACACCGGUGGCGAAGGCGGCAACCUGGUCCUUGACUGACGCUGAGGCGCGAAAGCGUGGGGAGCGAACAGGAUUAGAUACCCCCGUAGUCCCUGUCUCUUAUAC